GGAGGAAUAUUGGUCAAUGGACGAGAGUCUGAACCAGCCAAGUAGCGUGCAGGAUGACGGCCCUCCGGGUUGUAAACUGCUUUUAGUUGGGAAUAAAGUUCGGGACGUGUCCCGAUUUGUAUGUACCAUCAGAAAAAGGACCGGCUAAUUCCGUGCCAGCAGCCGCGGUAAUACAGAAGGUCCGGGCGUUAUCCGGAUUUAUUGGGUUUAAAGGGAGCGUAGGCCGUCUUUUAAGCGUGUUGUGAAAUGCCGCGGCUCAACCGUGGCACUGCAGCGCGAACUGGAGGACUUGAGUGCGCAGGAGGUAGGCGGAAUUCGUGGUGUAGCGGUGAAAUGCUUAGAUAUCACGAAGAACCCGAUUGCGAAGGCAGCUUACCGUAGCGUUACUGA
rnacentral:rRNA from 1 species